rnacentral:lncRNA from 1 species
CUGGAACCUUGAACUUCAGGAUGGCACAGGAAAGUGCAGACCAGGAAGCUCUUGGGCUCUCAGUUGAGCUGCCCUCUUCCCCACAAAGGUCUUUUAAAGAUGGGGGCACAGAUGAAGAGGAGCAACCACCACAAGGACAAGGAUCCAAGCCCAGUCCACAUGAGGAGAAGUCCCAGGAAAGGAAGCUCAGAGGCAGAAGCAGCGUUGCCAGGGCAGGUAAGUUCAGACUCACCCGGAGCGAGAAGGUCACAGGGUGCUGUGGCACAGUCUUCUCUGGGAGACAGGGGCCCUGAGACCAGAUGGGUCAGCAGCACCUCAGAGAUGCUGGGGUACGGGGACCAGAGGGGAAGGGAGCACUGGUGGGAGGCGCUGCUCCCUGUGUCCUGGGUAGACCUGGGCUGUGGCUGUGCAUUUGGAGGCAGGCACUCCAACUCCCUGUGUUUUGCAGAAUCAGAGUCCAGCUGUGACGGGGUGAGCUCCAGGAAGAGGACAAUCAGUUCUGAGGACAGCAGCCACACGGGGACAGGUAGCAUCGUGCUUUCUCUCCCUAGAGGGUCAGGACCAGGGAGCUUAUCCAAGGUUGGGAAGGGAGGGGUUGUCAGAGAUUGAGAGCAGUUUCGAGAUCCCAAGAGCGUGUGAGGGGGAGGGUGGGUGCUGCCUGCGUUCCUGCUGGAGUCCAUUGUGGGGAAGGAAGUGCAGGAUUCUAGCCUUCAACUUGUUUUCGGUAUGCUUUUUCUGUACUUGUGGUGUGAAUUCUUCAUUAACAUAUCAAAGGAGAAAAAAAUCUUUGUAAAAUAUCUAAAGCAACAUCAGAAAACCUUGUGUUUUGCAUUCCUUUUUUUUUGUAUGUACUUAGCUGUACUGUAAGUAGUUGUUUAGUAGGAGAUAGUUAAAAAGGCCAAAGAUAGGGGCCAGCAAUGUGGUAGAGUGGGCUAAGUGUCUGCCUGUUGUGCCAGAAUCCCAUAUGGGUACCACGUUGGAGUCCCAGAUGCCCCUCUUCUAAACCAGCUCUCUGCUAUGGCCUGGAAAAGCAGUAGAACAUAGCCCAGAUGCUUGGGCCUCUUCACCUGCAUGGGAGACCUGCAAGAAACUUCUGGCUCUCAGCUACUGCCAUUUAGGCCAUUUCCUGAGGGACCAGCAGGUGGAACCUUUCUGUUUCUCCCUCUGUCUGUCUAUAAUUCUGUCAUCAAAUAAAUAAAUAAAAUCCCCUCCA